CGGCAAGUCAAUCUACAGAGAGCAACCGGCUCUUAACCGGUGGGUUCAGGGUUCGAGUCCCUGACGGCCCACCA
rnacentral:tRNA from 1 species